GAUUUACCUCAGCGUCAUCGAAUUGAUUUUAAGCUCUUCACCAUCGUUGCAGCUUUGUCAUGUUUGUCCGAGAAAAUAUCAAGGCUAGACCCUUUAUCAAGAAACUGAUCAACAAGAUCAACUUUGAGGCUCUAAAUGUGCAGAUGUAUCGAGCCAGGGAGUCGUUCUGCAGGACGAGGAGGAGCACGGUUUUCCCGGUGAGGUUCCCAUCAAGAACCUUAAGGUUGAGCUGGAGGCAGGUGGCCUCCGGAAAGAGCAUGUUGAUCUGGUGAUAACAAAGUUCACUCGAGAAGGGAAAUCAACGGUGGACUUUCUGGACUUCUUGACCUACAUCCCUCUCUUCAUCGACCUACAUGAAAACAUUGUCUCAGAUCCUCUCUACGCUACCAAGGACCUGUGAUGAGGGUACCAACAGCGAGUCAUUCACAUCAAUUAGACGUGCGAUGGACUGGUCAGGGGAGCGUUUUAUCAAUAUUUUUUGUCCCGACAAGUUGUCAGAUCUCAACUUUCCUUGAUGUAUAUUGGCUAAGAAUCGAUGUUACUAUGGUAGCUGUAAGAUAAAGUGGGACUUGUCGAAUAAAACGUCAGACAACCCCUUUCAACAGUCACGAAGCGCUUCCCAGAGGAAUGCAAGAUGACGAGGAUGCACAUCAAGUCGCUCGAAACUUGAAGGAGUUAGAUGGAAUCGUAUCCCACCGCUGCCACAAUAAUUUCUUCAAGAACAAAUAUUCAAUCUAUUUAGAGUCCAUUAAUUGAUUUAAGAUUGAACUCUGUACAGAUUUCCAUGCUGAAAUGAAUGUGUCUAAAUAUGAAAACAUAAUG